GCCGUCGCCGUCCAUGCGGGGCGGCGGGGCCGAGGCGGCGGCAUGAGCCAGAGCGAGGUGUCGCCGUGCGCGGCGCCGCCGCCGCCCCCCAGCCAGCGGGUGUUCCAGGAGGCGGUGCGGCGCGGCAACACCAAGGAGCUGCAGUCGCUGCUGCAGAACAUGACGAACUGCGAGUUCAACGUCAACUCCUUCGGGCCCGAGGGGCAGACGGCGCUGCACCAGUCCGUCAUCGACGGUAACCUCGAGCUCGUCAAGCUCCUGGUCAAGUUCGGCGCCGACAUCCGCCUGGCCAACCGCGACGGCUGGAGCGCCCUGCACAUCGCCGCCUUCGGGGGCCACCAGGACAUCGUCCUCUACCUGAUCACCAAGGCCAAAUACUCCGCCGGCGCACGGUGAUGCCGGGGCCGCCCCUCUGCGCUCGCCCGGUGAUGCCGGGACCGCUCGCCCGGUGAUGCCGGGACCGCUCGCCCGGUGAUGCCGGGCGCCCCCCACCCUUCGCUGCCCCGGCCAUGCCGGGGACCCUCCCCGCUCCCCCGGCCGCCAGAGCUGCUCCCGCCCCCGCCCGGGGCGGGUUUGGCGAAGAUUUGGGGCCCCACGCAGAACAGGCCACAUUUUUAAGUUUUUUUGUUUGUUUUGUUUUUGGUUUUUUGUUUGUUUUGUUUUUGGUUUUGUUUUUUUUAAUCUUCCAAGGGUUGUUUCCUACUGUAACGUGGUUUUUUUCCUCCAUCUACCUCGGCUGCACUCACAGUAUUCACGGUUUCAGUUUGACAUCUGGGCAGAUGCUUUAACACCCCCCGCCCCGUUCCCUCUCCGCUAAUAUUUAAUCCCCCUCCCCGCCCCCCUCGCUCCCGACCCUCCCAUUUAAAGUGUUCUGGCUCAGAAACUAAUUCAUUUCAACGCCCCCAAAAGCCACCCCGCAGACCCCGCUGCUGCUGGGGUGCGCUCUCCGGUGCCAGCCCCGUCCAUGGGCCGCGGCCUGCCUGGCGAGGAAGAGCAGGAAAGUCUUCUUCCUCUCCGAGGUUUUCCCACCGCUGACUUUUUUUUUGUCGAGGCAAUUCCGUUGGAAUAUGACAGACGUGGUUUUCUCACCCCGAUUGCUCCUGGGUUUGGCUGAUUUUGCGUUGGGUUUUCUGCUUUGGUUCUUCCUUGGGUGUCCGAAGAAAGUCUGCAUCCUCACCCGCUCCACGAAUCUGUUUAGCACACGUGAGAUCCCAGGAAAAGACAUUGAGUCCUUGUGGUUUUGUGUGUAAAGGGGGAUUAGCAAAUCCUGGACUGGUUUUUUUCUUAAAAAAAAAAAAGUGAAAUAAACUCUAGAGGCAGAGGAUUUUCUUUUGCACAGAAAAGGGGCGCGAGCGCUCUCUGCUGCCUACAGAGAUGCUGGAAAACUACUGAAAAGAGUUUGGGAACUUUUAUUUUUUCUUUUGGUGAAACUUGGAUAACACUUCUCAAUGCAGAACGAUUCACUUGACGUACGUACACUCACCCGCCUUUUAUAGGAGAUGUAUAUCCCAGCGGAUAUAUCUUUAAAAGGAAAGGGAGGAAGCCGCGCGAGCCACCCGAAGGCGCAUUUUGAAGUGACUGCACGUAUAAUCGCAAAUGCUGCUUUUUUAUUGCUAUGGCACAAGAACAUCCAUUUGGAAAAUGCAGAAAAGUUCAGAAGUCUCCUUUCUCCUGCUGGUCUUUCAGCCCUCUUCUCCUCGUCUGCACUAAAGCCAUCCGUAUCACUGCCAUCUCCCCACUUUUUCCUCUCUUGCUCUCUGCAUCCAAACCAUUCUGAUUAAAAAAAGAGAAAAGAAAAUAGUUAACUGAUGGUUUUUUGGGGUUGUGUCUUGCCUAUUUAUCAUGUCUGUAUAUAUUUGUGGGUGAAGAUUGUGAGCCUGGUUUUGUUUGAAGCUGAUGGUGAGUGUUUCAAGAAUAUGGUUUGGGAUAUAUUCUCUUUUUUUUGUUCAUUUUUUCUUUUCCUAGUCUUAAAACUAAAAAAAAAAACAAACCUAGAGUCUGCCCUGAUUAUUUCCCAUUGCACUGAAUAUUCUGCUUUGUCUCUGAUAAUUUCACCUGCAGUUGUUUGUAUUUUGUUGGGUUUUUCAUUUGUUUUUGUUCUUUCUCCCCUUCAGCAAUUUGAGGUGAUUUUAAAAGCUCCAGAUUUAAAGAAGCAAAAAAGCCCUGUCAAAAGUGUCUACUGUUAUUGCUGUAAUUUGCAAGGAACUGCUUGGCUGAAAUCUUUCUGUGAGCAUGGAAGGGGGUGUCCAGCACUUCCACUGGUGCUUCUGUGUGAUAGUUACGGGGUGGGAACAAGACCUUUCCUAGUGAGGUUUUAGCGUUGUUACCAGAUGGUUGCACAUUUUUUUUUUUUACAUAAAUGGAUUUGCCACAAUGAAAUGUCAUAACAUUUAUGACAUGAUAUUAAAAAGUGUAUUGUAAAGCCGAGUUCUAGAUGGAUUUUUAAAAAGAAAUCUUGGUUAUAAACCCAGUCUAAAGGGAGCUCUGUCCAGUGUUGUAAAGACAACAUGAUGUAACCCAUAUUUAUAUUUUUAUAAAAUACCUAUUAAGACUGUGAAUCUCCUGUGUGAAUUGCUGGGUGAGUUGUUUAAGAAAAGUAUUGUUCCUUUUCAGCCUCCUGGAGCUUUAGACACGCUGAGAUUUUUGGGAAACUGUACGUCGGGGAAGGGGGUUUGCUCUGAAAUUGUGAGUUGAUGUAUUUUUACAUCCCUUUGUAUUUUACUGAAAAGCUGCUGCCCUUCCUAGUCCCUAGAGUUUCAAUUUUCUAUGCAACCCCCACACCCCCAUCUCUCUUGAUCCUGAGAAGUAAAAGGGAUGCAGAUUGAUUCAAAUUGAAAUGAGGGUCCCCCCACCCCCCUUGUUGGCUCAUCGUGCUGCUGACCCUUCACGCCAAAACGGGGAGUACAAGGAAAAAAAAAAAGAGGCAGGUGGGGGAGGCUGUUUCAUGCAUGACUGGUUGCCUUCCAGCAGUCAUCUUUUUAAUUAUUAUUGUUAUUUUUGUAAGAAGAAUAUAUUGAUAAUGUCAGUGAAAUAAGCAGACAUUGAAGCUGAUGCACAGAUUGCUCCAGAAAGGAGUUUUUCUGUAGAUUUUUCUUUAGAUGCAAAUACCUUUUUUAAUUAUGUUAAUUAAUGUUAAGAAUUUUUAGGCUUAUAUUGAAGCUGUAUGUGGGUCACUAUAUGAUCAUUUCUAACUGGAUAAAGUCUGUACAGUACAGCAUAUUCCUGAGUGUAUGAUAUAGACGUGUAGCCCCAGAGUGCGAAAUUUAUAAAUAAAUUUUUCAUUGAUCUUUUUAUAAAAAAAAAA